CCGGUUGAUCCCGCCGGAGGACAUUGCUAUUGGGAUUCGAUUUAGCCAUGCUAGUCGCGCGAAUCAGAUUCGCGGCAGAUAGCUCAGUAACACGUGGCCAAGCUACCCUUCAGACCAGAAUAACCUCGGGAAACUGAGGCUAAGACUGGAUACGGGACGCCCGCUGGAAUGCGGCGUCCUCCAAACGUUUCGGCGCUGAAGGAUGCGGCUGCGGCCGAUUAGGUAGACGGUGGGGUAACGGCCCACCGUGCCAAUAAUCGGUACGGGUGAUGAGAGUCAGAGCCCGGAGACGGAAUCUGAGACAAGAUUCCGGGCCCUACGGGGCGCAGCAGGCGCGAAACCUUUACACUGCACGCAAGUGCGAUAGGGGAAUCCCAAGUGCGAGGGCAUAUUAGCCCUCGCUUUUGUUGACUGUAAGGAGGUCAACGAAUAAGAGCUGGGCAAGACCGGUGCCAGCCGCCGCGGUAAUACCGGCAGCUCGAGUGAUGUCCACUAUUAUUGGGUCUAAAAGGGUCUGUAGCCGGCCGGAUAAGUCUCUUGGGAAAUCUGGCAGCUUAACUGUCAGGCUUUCAGGAGAUACUGUCUGGCUCGAGGCCGGGAGAGGUGAGAGGUACUUCAGGGGUAGGGGUGAAAUCUUGUAAUCCUUGAAGGACCACCAGUGGCGAAGGCGUCUCACCAGAACGGACCUGACGGCAAGGGACGAAAGCUAGGGGCACGAACCGGAUUAGAUACCCGGGUAGUCCUAGCCGUAAACGAUACUCGCUAGGUGUCGGCAACGGUGCGACCGUUGUCGGUGCCGUAGGGAAGCCGUGAAGCGAGCCACCUGGGAAGUACGGCCGCAAGGCUGAAACUUAAAGGAAUUGGCGGGGGAGCAC
rnacentral:rRNA from 1 species